GACGAACGCUGGCGGCGUGCUUAACACAUGCAAGUCGAACGGAAAGGCCCUGCUUUUGUGGGGUGCUCGAGUGGCGAACGGGUGAGUAACACGUGAGUAACCUGCCCUUGACUUUGGGAUAACUUCAGGAAACUGGGGCUCAUACCGGAUAGGAGCUCCUGCUGCAUGGUGGGGGUUGGAAAGUUUCGGCGGUUGGGGAUGGACUCGCGGCUUAUCAGCUUGUUGGUGGGGUAGUGGCUUACCAAGGCUUUGACGGGUAGCCGGCCUGAGAGGGUGACCGGCCACAUUGGGACUGAGAGACGGCCCAGACUGCUACGGGAGGCAGCAGUGGGGAAUAUUGCACAAUGGGCGGAAGCCUGAUGCAGCAACGCCGCGUGCGGGAUGACGGCCUUCGGGUUGUAAACCGCUUUCGCCUGUGACGAAGCGUGAGUGACGGUAAUGGGUAAAGAAGCACCGGCUAACUACGUG
rnacentral:rRNA from 1 species